CCUGCGCGGAAGAUGUAACGGGGCUCAAACCAUACACCGAAGCUACGGGUUCAUCCUUUGGAUGAGCGGUAGAGGAGCGUUCUGUAAGCCUGUGAAGGUGAGUU
rnacentral:rRNA from 1 species